rnacentral:rRNA from 1 species
ACUCAAAUGAAUUGACGGGGGCCCGCACAAGCGGUGGAGCAUGUGGUUCAAUUCGACGCAACGCGAAGAACCUUACCAGCUCUUGACAUGUCCAGGACCGGUCGCGGAGACGUGACCUUCCCUUCGGGGUCUGGAACACAGGUGCUGCAUGGCUGUCGUCAGCUCGUGUCGUGAGAUGUUGGGUUAAGUCCCGCAACGAGCGCAACCCUCGCCUUUAGUUGCCAUCAUUUAGUUGGGCACUCUAAAGGGACUGCCGGUGAUAAGCCGCGAGGAAGGUGGGGAUGACGUCAAGUCCUCAUGGCCCUUACGGGCUGGGCUACACACGUGCUACAAUGGCGGUGACAGUGGGAUGCAAUGGGGUAACCCUGCGCAAAUCUCAAAAAGCCGUCUCAGUUCGGAUUGGGGGCUGCAACUCGCCCCCAUGAAGUUGGAAUCGCUAGUAAUCGUGGAUCAGAACGCCACGGUGAAUACGUUCCCGGGCCUUGUACACACCGCCCGU